GAAAUGCGAUAAGUAAUGUGAAUUGCAGAAUUCAGUGAAUCAUCGAAUCUUUGAACGCACAUUGCGCCCGCCAGUAUUCUGGCGGGCAUGCCUGUUCGAGCGUCAUUUCAACCAUCAAGCCCCGGGCUUGUGUUGGGGACCUGCGGCUGCCGCAGGCCCUUAAAAGCAGUGGCGGGCUCGCUGUCACACCGAGCGUAGUAGCAUACAUCUCGCUCUGGGCGUGCUGCGGGUUCCGGCCGUUAAACCACCUUCGUAACCCAAGGUUGACCUCGGAUCAGGUAGGAAGACCCGCUGAACUUAAGC
rnacentral:misc_RNA from 1 species